UACGUAGGGGGCUAGCGUUGUCCGGAUUUAUUGGGCGUAAAGAGCGUGUAGGCGGCCAGGUAGGUCUGCUGUGAAAACUCGAGGCUCAACCUCGAGACGUCGGCGGAAACCAUUUGGCUAGAGUCCGGAAGAGGAGAGUGGAAUUCCUGGUGUAGCGGUGAAAUGCGCAGAUAUCAGGAAGAACACCGAUGGCGAAGGCAGUUCUCUGGGACGGUACUGACGCUGAGACGCGAAAGCGUGGGGAGCGAACAGG
rnacentral:rRNA from 1 species